CUGUAGUUUGUUUCUAAAGAUCCUUCGAAAAGCACCCUCCAUAACCUAGCAUGGCGGAAAACAAUGCUAGAAUGAAGGUUAUCCUUGAGGUUAAAACAGACCUCACAGGCACUCUCAACGCGGCUGCCGAAGGAAAUGCCCUACACACAACCCCCAGUACUCUGAUAGGCGUAGAAGCCUUACCCUCCUCAUCAGAAGACCUGGUGGUGCCACGAGAAAGAGAAGCUUCAACAUCUACCACUAAGGAAGCACCCCCAGAAUAGGCGUAGAAGCCUUACCCUCCUCAUCAGAAGACCUGGUGGUGCCACGAGAAAGAGAAGCUUCAACAUCUACUACUAAG
rnacentral:lncRNA from 1 species